rnacentral:rRNA from 1 species
GCAGGCUGCAACUCGCCUGCAUGAAGCUGGAAUCGCUAGUAAUCGCGGAUCAGAAUGCCGCGGUGAAUACGUUCCCGGGUCUUGUACACACCGCCCGUCACACCAUGGGAGUCAGUAACGCCCGAAGUCAGUGACCCAACCUGAAAGGGAGGGAGCUGCCGAAGGCGGGACGGAUGACUGGGGUGAAGUCGUAACAAGGUAGC